GGUUAAGUCAGAUAAGACGGAGCCGCAGCGAAAGCGAGUCUGAAUAGGGCGAAUGAGUACGUAGCCGUAGACCCGAAACCGUGUGAUCUACCCAUGUCCAGGGUGAAGGUGCGGUAACACGCACUGGAGGCCCGAACCCACGCACGUUGAAAAGUGCGGGGAUGAGGUGUGGGUAGCGGAGAAAUUCCAAUCGAACUCGGAGAU
rnacentral:rRNA from 1 species